rnacentral:misc_RNA from 1 species
AAGUCGUAACAAGGUCUCCGUAGGUGAACCUGCGGAGGGAUCAUCAAAGAAUUUUACAAAACCUGGAGGGUUCUUUUCUCUUAGGUAAGAGAGAAGAACUCUCUAACAAACAAAAACGAUCACAACUAUUGAGAGAGAGAGAGAGAGAUUGGAUUGAUUCUCUGGUCUGGGGGGGGGGAUGGAUGAUAAAAGUGUUUGCCUGAUAAUGAUUGACUUGGAAACAGUAACAGAAAUACAACUUUCAACAACGGAUCUCUUGGCUCUCA